rnacentral:rRNA from 1 species
UACGGAGGAUGCGAGCGUUAUCCGGAUUUAUUGGGUUUAAAGGGUGCGUAGGCGGUUUUUUAAGUUAGUGGUUAAACGUCGGGGCUUCACCUUGAUUUGCCAUUAAUACUGUAAGACUCGAGUUCAGACGAGGUAGGCGGAAUAAGUUAAGUAGCGGUGAAAUGCUUAGAUAUAACUUAGAACCCCGAUUGCGAAGGCAGCAUACCGGCGCCCUACUGACGCUGAGGCACGAAAGCGUGGGGAGCAAACAGG